UCGAAAGCUCCUAUGGGCUCCAGGCACUGAGCCUAUGACUUUUGAUGGCCCUGUUAGAUGACACCACAGAGCAUGAGUGCUGAGCUGAUUCAGGUGUGGAGGAGUUCUGCUUUCCCCUGCUGUUCAUGGAAGGGAGGCUUUGCAAAGGGAGUCAGAGAACACUGGGGAGGAUGGCAGACUGAAAACACGAAGAGAGAGGAGCAUUUGCCGGCCCAAAGCAGCAUAUGAAAGAAUGGGCGGAUCAACGUAUGCUCCAUCCGUGGUGUGUUUCUGCUGCUUCUCCAAACGUGGAAUGACCAGUCUGAUUCUAGCCACUCUGUUGACUCUCUGCAGUGUGCCAUUUGGUUCUAACUUGGAUCUUUGUGGUAACAAAGGGGCUUGAGCUCUCAUGCUCACGUCUAAUGGCUAUUCGGAUAAUGCCUAAGUCAGCUUUCCAGUGUCGUGCUGCUCAGCAUUCUGUUAUUGUGACAGACACCUAAGGAAAACACAGAAAAGGAGGAAAGCUUUAUUUCACUCUGGGUUUCAGAGGUUUCAGUCCACAGUUGGCUGAGUUCACUGAAUUUUAAACUGGUGUUGAGGUGAAGUGUCCAAGGUGGAAGGGCAUGGAAAAGCAAAUCUACCGAUCCCAGCCAGGAAGGAAAGAAGGGGACGGCGCAGAGAGGGAGGGUUUGGGGAGAAGUUAUGUCCUUUAAAGCCUCGACCCUGGUGACCUGCUCUCUAACUGCCUCACCUCUGAACAGUCUUCCACCUCCUAACAGCCCAUUAAACUAUGAGUCAAAGAAUGGAUCGCUCCAUCGAUGAGGUCAGAGCCAUCCCCACCUAUCACUGCCCGCCCACUCCACAUCCGAACACUGCUGCAUUCUGAUUCCAGCUUCCACACAGGAGCUGACAGUGGCCACCGAAGGUCCAAAUCGUGACAUGGAGCCUCUUUUAGGCAGCGUUAUUUGUGUCUUUCUUUUCCUACUUACUUGUUCGUCUUUUUGUUACCGGUGUUUAGAAGCUUCUUAUAUGGUUGAGGCAAGUUACCGUGCCUUAUAUUUCCUUAUAUGCAAAAUGGGAAAGAGAGUGAUGUCUGUGUCAUAGGAUAUGAUUGCAACAAUUAUGUGGGAUAAUGCAAGCGAAACCUGAGACCUGUGUGUGGCACAUGGUGUUUUUUAGUCACUGUUCCAUCACUGGGACGAAAUACUCAGCACCCACAACUUAAAGGAAGAGAGAUUUAUUUUGGCUCACGGAUUCUGGAGGAUUCAGUCCGUGGUCUGCUCCUCCAAGGCAGAGUGAGCACGGAGGAAGGGCAGUGUUGAGAAGAGCUGCUCCGCCCACGACAGCGCGGAAGAAGAGAGGGACGGGAAGAGCUGGGGGGUAAGAGUCACUCUUCCAGGUAAAAGCCCUGGUGGCCCAUCUGGCCUCACCCAGCUUGGCCUCUCCUCUGAACAGCAUUCAGUGACAAGUACAGGCUGAUCCUAACCUGCUACGCAAUCACCUUUCAAACACGUGAGACUCUGGGGGGACAUUUGAUAUCUAAACCAUAGUACAGUACGAUCAGCGCUCAAUAUUAUUGUCAUUAGCCAGGAUCACGCUGCCAGCAUCUGUGGGCACCGAACCCUAGCCAGGCCUCCCGACUUCCGUUCACCGCAUUGAACCCUGCACGGAAGGACCUUCUCUCACUCAGACUCAUCACCUCACCCCUGCUCAUGCCCCCCGCGGGCUCCCGCACCAGCAUCAGAGGCACAUGCUGUUGUGCUGCUAUCAGGACCCAACAUUACUUUAAAACACUGCGAUCAGGUUCUUCUGGAUAGGAAAAAAAGGUGGUUUUUAGACUGAAAAAUCCUGGAAAACAUUCAUUCUCACAGACUCUGCAUAGUGCAUGUGGCACUUGGCAUGUGCAUUCCAAAAUUUUAAAGACAGGUAUUGCACCAGAAGAGAAAAAGAAACAAAACAAAACUGAUCCCUAAACCCAAAAUGCAUUAAAUAUUAAAGGCUAUUCAACGUGAGCAAUGAAGUGUUUCAGGCUAAAUGCCCAUUCUUGCCUCACUCAUCCCACUUUUCCUGAUACACCGGCCACACACAAGAAAAAAAUGACCAAAUUUUCUCUUCUAUCCUACUGGGAGUCGCUUUGCUCCUGGUGGUCAGACAAUAACAUUUUCUUAUAAAUAAACAAAUUUUAAUCAGCCUUAUUUUUCCCCUUCCACCUGUGGAAUUUUCCUCAGUUUAUAAACGAAUUCUGUUUUGGGGAAGAAAAAUCGUGAGUGUCGUAAGUUUGCUUUUGUCGCCAAAUUCAACAACAACCAUUCACUUAGUCCUCAGCGAGGAAGCCACUAAUAACUUCCUUCCAAAUCCUUUAGUUAAAUUUAGUUCCUCUCCCCCCCUCAGGAUUAAUUCAUUCUUCCUCCCAGAUUAAUGCAGCUCUUCAUAGUUGUAAUUUCUCAACUGUUAAAUUUCAGAAGCUGCAUCUACUGAAAAUGCCUUUUUAGCCUAAGGAGAAAUCGGACCCUUCAGUAUUUCCACUACGGGCUUUAAUUCCAUCUUUUGGUUGCAUUCAAAGCCCUAUAAUUGCUUAUCCUUAGAACAGCCCCUAACCCCACCAAACAGGGACAACAAAAGCACGACUGUCCACUUUAGGAUUUUUUUUUCUCUUUUUUUUUUGCACAUUAAAUAGUCCUAUCUACUCUGCCAUCUCCUAUGGCUUCAACGCGUCAAGUUCUUGGACUUUAGCUUCGCAGUUGCCCUCACUGAGCCACGUUCCUCUGAGAAGGUGAGAGAGGCAAAGAGCACCACCUCCCGUGUGUCCUCAGAGUAGCAUUGAGGAAGGGUGGUGCCUUCCCUCCCGCUAGGUCUGACUUCUGAUGUCUUCUGAUGCAGGCCAAACUGCCUUCGCUAUUCUUGACAGCCACCUCGUGGUGAGGCUGCGUCAUCCAGCCUGCCACAUCCCUUGAGCCUUAUUCACAGCCUUUGACACCCAGUGCUGCUGCCUUCACUUGUACGGUUGGUUCACGGGACCCAAAUGUUGACCCUUAGACUCUUCCUUGCUAGGUUGCUCACACCGUUUCAUCUGCUUUUCAGGUCCCAGCUACUUGACGAAACAAAGGUUUUUACUUCUGGGAAAGAGAUUCAGUAGGGAGGAAACAGAAAGGAGAAACUGGUUGGGGAUUUAGCUCAGUGGUUCUGCCA